rnacentral:lncRNA from 1 species
AACUAAUUAAUCACCUAAACUAACUUUAAAAAAAAUAGAAGAGAAAAGGGAGUGUACCUUAGAGGGAGAGCAGAGGAGUUUGGGAGGAAUGAACGAGGCAGCCUCGUUCUCGGCGUCUCAAUAUAUAGAAAAUGUUUCAUCGUAAACGCGACGUAAUAUUACGACGAAGUUACCAGGCCCGCGUUUUUCCAUUUACGACGAAGUUACCAGGCCCGCGUUUUUCGGUUUACGACGAAAUUACGUCGAAACGUCCGUUUACGACGAAGUUACCAGACCCGCGUUUUUCUAUUUACGACGAAGUUACCAGGCCCGCGUUUUUCCAUUUACGACGAAAUUACGUGGAAUAGGUUUAACCAUUUACGACGAUUUUACAAUGCUUAACCCUAAACACCGAGAAUGAAAUCCCUAAACCCCAAAGUGACAUAUCAUCUAACAUCAUAUCUUCUUCUCUACUACUUCAUUCUCUUUCUCCAACUUAAACUCUAAAACCCUAAAACUCCAAAUAA